rnacentral:rRNA from 1 species
GCGGGGAAACUCACCAGAUCCAGACACAAGUAGGAUUGACAGAUUGAGAGCUCUUUCUUGAUUUUGUGGGUGGUGGUGCAUGGCCGUUCUUAGUUGGUGGAGUGAUUUGUCUGCUUAAUUGCGAUAACGAACGAGACCUUAACCUGCUAAAUAGCCAGGCCCGCUUUGGCGGGUCGCCGGCUUCUUAGAGGGACUAUCGGCUCAAGCCGAUGGAAGUUUGAG